AUGCCAGUCUGGGCCCCCAACCGAGGCUCUGCCCAUCCCCUGGGCUGCAGCUCGCCAGGUGGGGCCCAGGGCCGCCAAGCGGCCAGGCUGGUGUGGGGGUGUGCUCUCCCCUUCCAGUCCUGGCACUUCUUUCUCCCAGGGCCCACGGAGGCUCCCUCACUCCUUCGCUCUCUGAGAAGACCCCCCCCCCUGCAACUUGUUGAAAGGCAAUCCUGGGCCCCAGCUGUGUACUCCAGCAGGACAAUGCAUCUCGCCCAAGCCCGGAGGUCUCAGGCAGCACGUGGCGGGGUGGCCGCUGGGCUGGGACCUCCUCCCAGCCAGGGGGCAGGGCAGGGCAGGGCAGGGCAGAGGAGGGAGGGCCGGGGCAUAAAUUUUGGAGGAGAGGAGAGGAUGGAGGAGGAGGGGCGAGUGCUUCGUGGGGCCUUGCGGCGGCUCAGAGUCCCUGGCGUGACCUUCCCUGCCACGGGGACAAAGGCCGGCAGGGCGGGCGGCGCCUUUAAGGACGUGGCACGGCGGGGUCGGUGCCAGGAGGCGCCGGGCGCGCCCCGGGGGAGACGCGCUGCGGGCGGAGGAGAGCUGGCGCUCUCAGCCCGAGGCCCCAGGGGCGCCCUGCGUGGUCAUUUGCCCUCCUUGCCCCACUCGCUUGGGGUGGGGGCUGGGUGGACAAGGUCCUCGCCUCUGUUCCGGGCUCGGUGGGGGCGGGGAGCUCCGCGCGCGGGAUGCGGGAUGCGGGGGUGGAAUGCAGACCCCCUGGAGGGACCCGGCGGACUCAGACGAGCAGGUCGGACACCGGCUGCCCGGACUGGAGCUGGAGCCGCCGCCGAGCGGUAGGUGCUGCGCCCGCUUCUCCCCACGCGGGUCCUGGGCGCCCGGCUCAGCUCGCCCUGCAGCGCAGUUUCCAAAGGGCUUUUGUUGCUGGCUGGGAUGUAGGACUUGGAUUUUUUUUCCCCACCCUCCUGGGGGAGGCUUUUUGCGUGGAAAAUUCCUGCUAUUAAAAAAUACAAAUGCAAACCAAACAAAAAUCAAUUCUGAUGGAAAGAAAAAGCCCUCGUUGCGAGCACGUUGCAAAUACUCGCCAGAGCAGAAAGCAGCAGGCCAGGCUCUGGGUUGGCUUUAGUGAAACGGACCUGAGCCCAGAGCCUGAGAGAGCCCCAGCCUUGAUGGAAUGUGCCCGAAAAGCCCCCAGGGCGGGAGUGGCCGGCCUGGCGCUGGCUUCGGGGCAGCUCCUCUGGCCAUCCUGGCUGGGGCUUUUGGAAGAGAUAGUUUUCUGGGGAGUCUCCCUUUGGGACCCUUUCCUGCCCCCCCCAUUCCUGCCUUUGGCGGGUAUUGAUGCAUCACGAAUUGGGGUGGAAUCUGUAUUUGUGCAGGUCAGAAGAAAACAGACCUAUUGAAUGUUUAAUUAAAUGGAUCGACUGCCCUGUUAACAAAAGAGGCCGUGGCCGUGCUUAGGUCAGACGAGACUGGUGACUGGUGGCCGAGUCGCCUCGCCUGUCAGCCCGGCUGCCUGCCUCUCAGGACCGGGAGGAGAGGGCUUCGCUGCAGGCCCUGGCAGCUCUAUGGGGAUUUUGAUGGGAGUAAUUUAUUUGUGGUCUAUAUAUGGCACAGGUAACCAGGCCAAGGAUGCAACCCUCGGUCCCCCCAGAAAUAAGAGGACAAGGUGUGUCUGUCACCUUCCUAGUCCUGAGGCCCAGCCCCCGGUUCUUCCCAGAGGCAGCCUGGGGAGGGAGCCCUCAGCUUGGUCCCGGAAAAAGUCCUGGGGUUACAGGACAGGGUGGGGGCGUGGCUCCAGCCAGGGGGGGGAGCAGGUUUGUGGGAUGGGGGCCCAGAUUGCUGGGCCGGGUGUGAGCGGGGAGCUUGGCCAACACAACGUGGGGGCAGGAAGAGCACGGGGAGGGUGGGCUGUGUGGCCCCAGGUCUGUUUGGUGUGUCAGAAGCCAGUCCGGAUGGGCGGCCUUUUACCCUCUGGAGCCCCCUGCUGGGGCAGAGGUGGGAGGGGGGGCAUCUGGCAGGGGCUGGGGCUUUUCCAAGUCUAGGAAUUUGAAGAAAUCCAGGGGGGAGCUGGCUUCGAGGGCGCCCCCCCAUCAUGGGCAUGGUGGGUAGGACAGGUCCCGCUGUGCCACCUGAUCUCUGAAACUGGUGCUCAGGGGAACUUUGCUGGACACGGGGGCGGGC
rnacentral:lncRNA from 9 species